GGUCCGCUAGUAUAUCGGUUAGUACGCUCGGUUUUGAUUUCCUGAUCCAUUUCAAGUCCGAGUGAGCCCGGUUCGAUUCCGGGGCGGACCU